UCGGCCGUUACCUUGACAGCGGUAACAAGGCUGAAACCACACAAUAAAAUACGGAAAAUGAUGACUUUGAAUGUGAUUUUUUGGUGUUAUGAGGAGAAAAUGACAACAUACAAUUAUGAAAAGGUCAAAGCAUCAUCAUCAAAGAGUUUUGAACGUGUCAUAAGAGACGCACGCAGCCCAUAUAUGGUAAACCGGAAGCUAAGACUUCAGCAGUUGUUGGCUUGUCGUGUGAGAACUGUGUUUUGGUAUCAUUACUUUGGAAACAUACCUGAAGAAACAAAUGGACUGCAAUACCUUAACAAAAGAGGAGUGUGGCACCCUGACUUUCUGAAGAACAUCAGUGAAUUUGGGUGGAUAGGACACCUGGACCUGCCACGGUGGAGGACUCGCUCCAUUCUCAGGCCCAUCCACACACUGACCUGAGCAGACAUUAUUUUGUUAAAAUGUCAGCAACUACUGAUAUUCUACCAUCAACUCAUGGAAAUCUACAGACAUUAGGCCUGUUAACAUUCUGUUAAUUAACAUUUAAAACUUAGUAGCUGAAUAUUAAGGACAGUGAUCUGAACAGUAAAAAAAAACGCUUCUAUAUAAAAAAAGGAAAAGUACACUUAAACUCUGUGAUAAUCUUUUAAUAUAAUAUAAUAAUAAUGAUGGUGUCAUUGAGUGUAGGUGUCUUGUAGU